rnacentral:lncRNA from 7 species
AACACUGCACGGUAUACAUGAUGUAUGCGUACCAUUACAAGAUGUGCAGCUACAUACAUCUCACGUUAAACAAAGCAACUCCGGCUCAUAAGUCGUUGUCUUACGGUACCGUGUGUCCAUUUCAGAUGAUGCAUGGUACCUCUAAACAAUUCCGCAACGUUAUUGUACCAGAUGGCAAAGUCGCUCUAACAGAUUUCAAUCAGAAUUCAUAAAAAAGGGAUAAUAUACAAACACAAGAACUAAAAUUUUGAUUGGUAUAGUGCUACUCCUGUCAUAUGCUUUCCGAGAAUGUAAGCGAGUUAUAAGACCCAUUGUCUUUCACUCUAGACUUUAUUCGUAUAGUAGAGUUUAAAUAUAAAGAUUAUGAUGGGUAAACUUCUGAAGAUAGCCUAACUCUAUCAUGACGGAUAACAUUUUGCAAAACAAUUGUGUUGGGGGCCUUCGUCCUCCGAAGGUCCUCAAAAACAUGAUUUGACAAUAUCUUCCAAGUGAAAUGUAUGAACAGAUAUCUUCGGACCCAGAUUGUGAACAUGAAGUACGAUCAGGACGAAGCUUAAGCUAGACGAAGGAAGAUUGAGAUGAAGGACGGGCUGAUCACCAAGCCGUACGAGGGAUGGUGCAUAGCCGAAGCUAUGCGCAGGGGAGCUUCGGCAUAGUGGCAGAAAGGGGAACCGACUUAAAGAUGAAAAGACUACUUAGGCUUUGACAGAUCCUCAUAAGUCAUUAGCAAAUGUAGUGGACAUGAAUGUAAUUUUACAUGGGCUGCGUCCCACGUCUAUAAAUAGAUGAACAGUACUCCCGUACUGUACACAC